rnacentral:rRNA from 1 species
UACGUAGGGUGCGAGCGUUGUCCGGAAUUAUUGGGCGUAAAGAGCUCGUAGGCGGCUUGUCACGUCGAUUGUGAAAGCCCGAGGCUUAACCUCGGGUCUGCAGUCGAUACGGGCUAGCUAGAGUGUGGUAGGGGAGAUCGGAAUUCCUGGUGUAGCGGUGAAAUGCGCAGAUAUCAGGAGGAACACCGGUGGCGAAGGCGGAUCUCUGGGCCAUUACUGACGCUGGAGGAGCGAAAGCGUGGGGAGCGAACAGG